UUGUCGUUGGUGAAAGGCAAGUGUGCCACC
rnacentral:sRNA from 1 species